ACAGAAUGUAAUUUUCCAUGGCUUGUUUUGCCCUGAAGAUUCCCUUAUUCAAAUUGUAAGCAGUGAUUUUGCCAAAUUGUUGUCUGUCAUAUCAGUUAGGUGGACCACAUUUUCGAGAUAUUCAAUAUGCAACCUAUUGCUAACUUGUGUUCCAUAUAUAUAUGUCGGAAUUAUGAUUCAGAGGAAUGAGGAAGACUACAGACAGAUGCUUCUUAUUCUGUUCUUACAUUUUUCUUUCUUAUCUGACAAUCCUAUCAGGUCUUAUAUCAAUGUGUCCUAGCUCUAAAACAUUUAGCUGAAAACACGACCAGAGUCCAAAAAUUGCUCUAGCUUUAUUAAAUUUUUCUUUUAAGAGCUGGCCUUCAAUCUCUCUCAUAAGAUUUGAGCAUGCCAUAAUCCAUUGCUGUUCUAGUUAAAAGAAGAUGCUGAAUUCCAAUAUCUGGAUUUGUCAGUUACUUGAUCCAAGGAUUGCAGCAUCUUAGGUGACCAUGAUUCUUAUGGCCUGAAAGACAAAAUUGUUUUUGCUAAUAUUUGGAGCAUCAAGUUAUCAUCGAAGAGCUGCAAGGAAAAUUUGCAUUUGGUAUUCAUGCACAGCAAUGCUUGUCCCUCUUAUAUACCGAGUUCAUGUUGUACUUUUGCAGAAAAUAAUUUCCCAAUUUUUGCACCUCUUUUAGUGGGGAAGACUCUCCUAUCUCAAAUUAAAAAAAUAAGACAAUUACCUCCUGCACUCUGUACCCAUGAAUAAGCUUAUAAGGUGGGCUAUGCUGUCCCUGUAUGUCUGUUUAUCCUUUUGCUUGCAGAUGUGAUUUUUGCACUUGUGAAGAUACCUUUUCAGUUAUGUAGUAUGUAGCUUAUUUAGUAAACUUGCAAUCUUCAGUGCAGAUUGAGUUGGAUUUAAACAUUACGUUUUGAAUCUUAUGAUUGUGGACAUGGUGGCAGGCUUUGAAGCAAGAAGUAAUUGCUGACCUUGUCAAUCAAUGUCAUUCCUAUCAAGAGCGUGUCAUGCUUCUUGUGAACGACACAACGUAAGAACUUCAACCCAAUAUGAUCAUCCAACCUUUUGCAGUUAGAUUUAAUACCCCUAAUUGUGCACCCUACUGACCUUCAGAGACGAGGAACUUCUAUGUCUGGGAUUGGCCUUGAAUGAUAGUUUGCAGCGUGCUCUUUGUAAACAUGAUAACAUUGCCAAAGGUAUUCCACUGACCAAACCAGGAGUGACAGAAACUCCAGCUUUGCCACCAGUGAAUGUGAAUCAUGAGGAUGAUGAAUCUGAAGAUGAUUUUGCCCAGCUAGCUCGCAGGUGAACACUUUACAUUCUUUUCUAGAUCUCGUGCUUGGAGUAAAGUUUCCUUUUCACUGUGAGUUGCUUUUGGUACCUAAGAUUCAGACAAUGGAGACUGGUGUAUGCCUUUAGAAACAUGGUCAGGAGCAAAAUUCUAUGAUUGAGGGAAGUGAUGAUAACUUUCUAACAUCACAGUGAAAUGAAGAUUCCUACUUUCUUCCACACUUACUCAGUUGCUUACCCAGACACUGAUUUGGAUUUGUUUUUCCUGCACCCUUGUGUUGAUAUGUGCUAUAUUCUUCUGUCUGAAAACGUUAGCGAGAGAGCAUGCACAUAGAAGAAAGUCUCUUUGUGACAGUGAUAAGUAAUUAUUUCUUAAAUGUCUUUUUGAGAUCUCUAUUGUUGACUUGUGUAAUUUUUUGGAGGAUUCUUAUGCUGAAUGAUAUCCUGUACCCGGUUAGAAUAAGAGAAAUAUCAGAACUGCAGCUGUUGAAGUUUGUUCCUUCAUGCAUAUUCCAUGUCUCAUCAUGUAAAACUCAUAUUGUAGCAGGGUGCCAAAAGAUGAUGGACACAACAGGAGAGCAGCGAAUGCUCAGACUGAACCAUUGCGAGUCAGCCCACUUCUUCCACCUCCACCCUCAUCGAAGAGACCAGUUGCUGGAAAUUCAAGCUCAAUCGAUUAUCUGAGUGGUGAUAUAUACAAGUAUGAAGAAGCUCCUGAAACGAUGGGAUCAAAACUGUCUUCAGUUCCUGAUUCAAACACGACCUGUUCCAUGCCAUCUACUCCACCCCCUUCUUUCUCACCUCCUUCCCAUGUCGCUGCCUCCAUGAAAUCACCUACUUAUCUUGGACUCCCUGAGCUGGGUCCCGCAAGCAGCCACCCCAUUGAGCAGCAACCUUCAGUUCCUUUGGAUGCAUCAUCUUCUAGUUCAAUUCCAUAUAACCAGAGAGAACAAGUUACUGAGCAACAGCUGGCGUUUUCAGGCAAUACCUCUGAUUCCUGUAAUGAGACCACUUCCUUGCAUGACAGUUUGGUGGGCCAGACGCAGAAGCUCUCUCUUGAUUCACCUGAUACGGAGAAACAAGUGAAACAAGAGGAUAUACUCUUCAAAGAUCUGGUCGAUUUUGCUAAAGGGAGGUCCUCUUCAUCGCCGCAGAAAUCAACUCCACCAUCUUGAUUUGGAGUGAUUGUUUCAUGUGAGAGCUGCUUUGGUGAGGCAUCUAAAUUCUUUUUCAUGUAACUGGUUUUUAUAAAUCAUGUCUUGGAACAUGAUAAGUUUGGACAAUUGCUGAGUCGUGGCUUUGAUGGUUUCAUGAUUUGUUAUUGGCAUAGGCAUUACCAAGUAAUGCAGUCUUCAGUUCUUAGAGCUUAGUGGUUACUGUUAUCUAAAGUAAAAUCAUGACCGAAUCGUUUGAUUCAAAUUGAACUCAAUAGACAUGAACAUGGAAUUAAAUUUUGGAUUAAAUCAAAACCCAAAAAGAUGUGAGAUUUCAAGUUUCUCUCUAUAGUUUCAAUUAAGACCAACAUGGUGAUGACAUUGAAAAACAUGAAAUUUUGACUCAAAUAUCAUAAAACUUUGGUCAUUAAGCUAACAAAAAAAGAAUUAAAUGAUGAACUCUCAAAUUAUAACAAGUUUAUUUUAUCAAUAAGAUAUGUUUUUAGUUAUUCAACUUUCAAAGAUCCUUCUUGAACUAGCAAUAAUAUGAAUCUAUAUUAGUUCACUUUCAAUAUAUUUUGUUAUUUCUGUUUGUAAUAUAAACUUCGUAAAGAAAUAAUUUGUUGAAAAUUCUUUGUUCUUGUCAGUUUACAAAUUUUAAUGUAACCGGGAAAAAAUUCCACACUUGAAAUUGCAAAAUAUUAAUAAAAUAAACAUUCAGAUUUUAGUUUAAUUUUGUUGUAAAAUUAAAUGGAUUUAUGUGACGUUACUUUAUUAAUUAUGUUCACCAAAAUAUAUAUGUGUUUAAAAUGUGAUAAUCAAAUUUUUUUAUCAAUUUUUUUCUUUUUUCAUCCAUGAGACAUUGAAUUUAUGGAUUAACAAAUGAAUAAAAGAAACUUAGUUGUUCUUUGCAUGCAACUUAUGUUUAGAUUUAGAUUUUAAUUAUUUUUGAGAGAUUAAUUCUAAAAUAAUAACGAUUGUGCAAAAUGCUAGACAUUAUUUCAAUAAUUAUAAAAGUGAAUAGUAUGAAGACGGUGCCUAGGCAAAUUUUAAGAAUGAUUUGUGGUUAGAGCCCAGCUUGGAAAAUGGUUCUGCGAGAGAUUUAACUUGAGAGUAAACUUUGUAGAGAUUUAGUAUGGACAAAAGUUCUGUUCAUAGGGAAAUAUGACCACUCCUCACCAUCCAUGGAAAUUUUGAAUUAUAUAUUUGAUGUCUGCAGAAUGAUAUGAACAUUUGAAGUGAGUUGUGACCUGCAAAUUGGUUAGCAUCAAUCCUGCAAAUCGAAAUAUCCAUAAAUGGCCGGUGGACUUCUGAAAAGGCAAAUGUAAUAUUGUUUAAUUUUCUCAUCAAAACUUAAAACACUAUUUAAAAUUCAGAAACUUUGGAGAAAAUUGUACAUGAAUCUUAUAUUUUAGUAUAAGAUUGCUUUGAAAGGUUUCAAGUAUUUUACAUGAAUAGAAGUGAACUCGGAUAGGCCGUCAGAUUUUUAGAAAGCAAAAAAUAAAUAAUAAACAAACUCUAAUUCUAGUAAGUAUUAGAGAAGGCUUUUCGUGGAUCUCUUCGAUAUUUCCCCAAAUUGUCAAAUUAUAAAAACAAAAAAUGACAGCUAAUUAUAUUUGUGAAAUUUCCAAUUGAAGAGCUUCUAAAAGGCUGACUCAUUAGUUACAUUAUUUUGCAUCUUAAAAGGGAACCGAAUAAUUCUUUGCUUCUAUAUAAAAUAUAGUGAUUCUUUGCUUCUGGACACCAUUGAUCACAUUUGGUGCGGUCUAUAGACAAAAGUAGGAAGAAGAGUGCAAGCGUUGCCUUCUAUGGAAGAAACAUAGGUCACUAAUAUUCUCUACCUUUGAUCCAUAUAAAGCAAUCAUGUAUUUUUUGCCUCAAACAGAUACUGAACCGCAAGACUCCUUCGGGUGCUUCAAAAUGAGACUUGUCGUGAUACCUUCCCUUUUUCUUGGCUCAAAUGAUUUAAAAUUUUAUUUUUGAAUAGAAAAUUCUUUGCAGCUUGACCCCAACGAAGAAGAAGAAGAAUUAUGGUUCCAUUUCUCUUCUUCUCGAAGUAAAGAAAAGGUCGCGAUAUACUUUCCUUCGUUUGCUGGCCAGAACAAUUGAUAAAUAUAGAAUGGCUUAUCGAACACCACCCAUCCGCCCACUUAUCUACCAUCUAAAUACUCAAAUUUUCAAUCUCUUAUCUUGGAAAGAAUCUAUGGAUUUCACAAGUCCUCUUUUAGCAAUCAUCAAAGAGUUGUGGGGCUCGGCCAGCAACCUUUGGGCUACAUUUAUUGUCUAAAAGAUAAUGUCAAGAACGCAACUGAAGACCUGAAGGUCGUGAGCUACGAUGUGAAGGUAAUGGUGGAACAUGAAGAAUAAGAAGCAUGUGCAGUGCACACAAAACAAGUAGCGAAUUGGUUAGCCAAAGUGCAAGAGUUUAUUAGUCGAGUCGAUCUGACCAAAUUAAAUGUCUCUGUCAUUGUCUUCCAUCGAAUUGUUGGUUCGAUUAUAAAUUGAGGAAAAUAGUUAAUAAAAUGCUCAAUGAAGCAAGAUAACUCCAACCCAAGGGAAAAUAAUUUGACGUUGUGACAUCAACAUUGCCUCCUCAUCAAGUGCUCAUGAUGCCUAUCAACAAGAUGGUGGGGCUUGAUAGUUCCUUUAAAACAAUGAAAAGACUAGGAGUACGGGAACGAGACUUUGUUUUUGAAAACAAUGGAAAGACUAGGAGUAGUGCCAAAAGGAGUGGCUUAAAAGGCAUUUGUGAACUUUCCUUUUGAUCCACAUUUUGGGUCAGAAAGUCUGACUAAAGAACAAAGAUGAUGAUGAGAAAUUUUUUACAAAUUUCCAACCCAGCAUGGGUGUGGCUGCUGACAACCCUGGAGAAAGAAUGAGAUUGUUUCGUUCAAAAGAGCAUAAGAGGGUUUAUGCCCAAAUGUUGAACAGAGGAGUAAUAAACCCACACACAAUGGACUUUGACUUCCUUGACUCCAUAAAGGUUAACUUGUGGGAAACGUUAGCCAAUCUUCAACUUGAAAAAUUUUGUGUUGAGACAGUAGUGGCUUAUCCUGAAUUGACAGUGCAUUUUUACUCCAAUCUAUCUUUCCUGGAUUGAACUCACAUUCAAUUCAUUGUCUGUGAUAAAGUGUUUGUUGUGGAUGUGAAUAUUCUAGCUGAUAUUUUGGGAAUUGAACGUAGUGGUUUUCCACCAAUCAAUGUCUCCAUAAGUCAAGCCACUCGAUUUCUAGUGAAGGACAGACUGCCAAGUAGGAGUAUCACAUACUCUCGAUUGCUAGCAUCAAACAUUCUGUUGCACAAGAUUGCCAUUAAUUGCAUUAGACCCAAAGCUGCCUCCAAAACUGAUGUCUUGAGAUUUGAAGCAAAUAUUAUGUGGGCUAUUCGCAAUGAAAUUCCUUUUUCUUUGCCGCAUACUAUCUUCUUGCAUAUGUACAAGAUGAUUUGACAAUUUCUGCGCUUGCCUUGCAAAAUCUUCAGGGUUCUGUUGAUUCUGAAGAGACAGAAGAAGAGGACAAAGGACAAGAAGUAGAAGAAGAAAGUGAUGUAGAAAAGAAAAUUGAAUAUGUUGAUUUUGAAGCAACAGAAGAAGAGGAAAGAUAUCAAGAAAAAGAGAAAGCGAGUGAUGCUGAAAGAUCAGCAGAAAAGGAGAAUGAAGAUGAAGAUUCUGAAGAAGACACUAGUGCAAUACAGUAUCGGAUGACUUUGCAGACAACAAGGAAAAUGUUGCAUCUGAAUGAGAAGACAUUGAACAAGAAAAGAGAUCUAGUGCUGGGAAGGAACGGGUACAAGAAGAUGAGGUCUCCUCUCCAUCUAUAGGCAUCAAAGCAGGGGGAGAUGUUGAGAAGACCCCUCAAAUUGCACCUACUGCUAGUGAUGGCAUUAGUAGAUCUCCUGCAGACGCUGAAGAUAUUACCGCAUCUCAUUUCCCUAAAGUUGAUGCAGAAACUCCAAGUCGUGGUACAAAACAAAUUGUCCUCGAUCAGUUGAUGUUCUCUCAUUUGUGAAUACUCCACAGACUCACUUCACUAAAGCUAGUGCUCAAACAGAACCUGAUGCAAACUAUCCAAGGAUAGUAGAGCUUCUUUUGGAGUUAAAAGUACAACAAUAUACAAUGGAGGAUGAAAUUCAGAAACUACACACUACCUUACGAUCUACAUUAGAUUUUCUAACUGGCAAAGUACAAUCUCUUGAUACUCAAGUUCAAAUGCUAAAUCAACAGGUUUCAUAAAUUGUUGCCAGAGUAGAGAAUGUCUAUCAUCAGUGCCAAGAGAAGCUUGAGGAGGCAGUGCAGUCGCAAGGGGAUUUCCGAUUCAUUCAUGUUUCAAGACAACCCUAAAUGACUCCAUCUCUUUUUAUCCAUUUUAGUAACUUUUUAUUCUGGUUUUCUCUUUCUUUUUUAUGUUGACAAAAAGGUGAAGAAAAGAGAGUAGAUUUAAAAGUUCAUGUUUGUUUGAACUUUGGUAGUGUUAACUUUUGAACUGGAACUUAGUAGUGUUAACUUUUGUGGAUGUUUAUGUUCUGCAAUUAACCUUUGUGAUUGUGAAUUUGGUUUAAAUUGUUGUGGAUCUGAAACUCUUGAACUCUAAAUUGUCAAGACUAAUGUGUUUUUUGUGGAUGCAGAUUCAAUCUCAUUCAGUUCUAAUAAUCUGUUCUUAUUAUAAGAUAUUAUACACUGUUAAAGUAUUGUUUUGUAGGAUAUAAGUGUUAAAUCUACAUGAGAGUUUUGUUAUCAUAAAAAAUGGAGAGAUUGUUGGAGAAAACUCCUAUUAAAUUUUGAAACUAACAAAACUUUUCUGAUUCUAUUCUCAUUUUCAUUCUAAGGAAUACGAUGUUACUCUUUCAAAAUCUAUCUUACAUUAGAAGUCUGCUCCACUUUGACAAAUAUCCAGACUAAAUGCAAGAGAAAAAUGAAGAUAUAAUCAGACUCAAGAUUUUUCUUUUCCUUCAAGGCUUCAGUACGAACAUGAUAUUUAUGGCCUUCUGGAUGAAAAUCUUACUUACCUUCUUUGGAUAUUAUUAUCGAAAUCAAUCAAGAACGGUAAUAUCAUUUUGGAAAGCAAGUUUAUUUGGAAAGAAUCUACUUAUGAAAACAUAAAUCCUGAUUGUAUGGGCAACCAAGAUCAUCGGACUUUCAUCUCAAUCUUCAAACGGUGAGAUCUCCUUUGAUUGAUUUUGUCCAACGGGAUAAUUGGAAGAAUAACUCUAGAAAGUGUCGACAAUCGAGAAAGGUACACAGGAGUAUUUAAGGAGGUUUUUCAAUUCAUUCGUGGAUGGGCAUGAAAGAAAAUUCCCAAAGUCUGAAGCUUCCAAAUUACUUAUUAUUCCUCUUGUAGUGCUCAAAUUUGUAUGCAAAGAAGAGAGAAACUUUUGAGAGUGACCUUUGGUGGCCGCGAUGGUUUGGCUACCGUACAAGAGAUUUAAAACUUUUUAAAUAAUUUCUUAUGAAUAAGGACAUCAGUCACAAGUGAUUUUGCUUCUAUUCUCUUUUUGGGAGGGGGGGGGGGGGGUUUGAUUUAGUACUCCUUGAGGUUACACAAUUGUUCCUUCGGAGUUAAGGAAAAUUUUGACGUUGUAACAUAGAUUGACGGAGACCUGAUCAAAGUAACUGUGAUCAACAACUUUAGAGGACCGGUAUCUCUAAUUAAUGUUGAAGUCUUGAAAUAUUAUUGUCAUUAGCCAUAGUCAAUCCAACAUAGAAAAGGUUGCUAAGAAAAAAUAUUUUGAGCAGGUGCAUUCAUAUACGACUGCAUAAAUAGAUAAAUAGAGAGAUAUAUGUCAAGUAGAGGUUUCAAUGGAGCCUUCAUUGCGCCAAAAUGUGACGAGCCCUCGACCUGGCAGUUGCCCUCAACUGUGAGACGUUUUUUCGACAAAUAUUUAUCUUUAUUUUCAACAUCAUAUGCCAAUCUACAUGUCUUUCUAGAGAAGUUGCCUUUUUUCCCUGCCAAUCUACCUUUUAGUUUUUGUUACAUUUUGCACUUAGAAAAUUCAUGGAUAUUAUAUUUUGCACUAAAAAAUUCCUGUAUGGCUACACAUAGACCUAAUAUGUAACUAUAGUUCGAAACUUUUUUAAGAGCUCUUACUAACACAGUUUGCCCAUGACGAGCCUAAUACAGUAACAACAGAUCCGUUGAAAUGCAAUGUGUAGAUAUUUGCACUUAAAUAUUUUGCACAUAUCUAUUGUUGAGACAUAAGAUGCAACUUAAAUUGUUCAAAGAUUUUGAAAAACUUAUAAUGAAUACAAUACGUGCAUGGUGAGCCCAUUAUGGAUAUUGGAACGCCAGGUACACUAUGUCUCUUGAACUAAUAUAUAGCUCCCGACCAAACAUAAAUUUGGAUAAAACAGAUGAGGCCAUCACUUAUAAACUCCAUUCGCGUUUAUGUAUAUAAUUUAUGGCUUAAACGAUAAGUAUAUGAGAAUCAUAGUAAAAGUCAAAGAAAUAUACGUGUCAGUUUUGUGUCUACUAUAAUCUAAGUGAAUUAUUACGGAUGCAUUAAAAUGAGUGAAUCUACUCAUAAAAUUAACGGCAGACAUGCACCAGGGAAUUUGAGCAUGUUGAUGGAGUAGGUAAAAAGCACAUGUAAGGUACUUUCAAUGUACAAUAAGUUUUUCUUUUAUCAGAAAUAAACUUAGCUUCUAAUAAGCAGAACGUAAUACAUAUUACAAGACCAAAGGAAUUGAGUUGGGGAGUGGCGAAAUACAAGUAGACGAAAGAAUUCAGUUGAAGUAGUAUGAAGUCCAAUUGUGAGAAAUAAUCAAAUCAACAUUUUUACUUGUAAAACCCAUAUAAACAUAUUCCAUAUGGUCAUUGAUUUACAUAGACCAGUAAAAGUGCACACACCUCACUUUACUUAGAAAUCAACACUAGAAAUCAAAUCGCCUUAUUGCAAAAUAUAUGGAUUAUCAAUCAAUGGAAAGUAAUCAUUGAUACGAUACGAAGAAAUGGGAAACACAAAUAUGUGGAAAGAGACUAAUAUUUCAAGAUUGAAGUACAUGGCUGAUAAAGCAGUGAUGAAACAUUUCAAAAACAGCUAAUUAGGGUAUUUUGGUAAGGGGGCUAUUUUCUUGAUAUAAUAGUAAGCCCCAGUGGAAAGCUAAAGCAAAUUUACAAGAAAUCAAGAAGAGAUAAUAUGGUCGUCGCAGAUGCUAGACAUACAAACAGCACAUCAAAAGGGUUUAUGAAUCUCUUAUAUUGUUUCUGGGCACUUCUUAGUAUAAUCAACACUGCAACUCAUGUAUAAAGGCAAAUAAGGACAUUGCGAUGUCUCAUAUCACAGAAAUUUGGACAGAGACAACCGAAUGCAUCUUCAUCUCGGUGUUAAGAGUGACUGAUCCUCAUCCAUUGAAGUCAACUCCACUUCUGCUUCUAAUCGCAUCCCCAUGGAAAUCGCACUCAAAGCACAAAUAGAUUCAGUUCUAAUGCGAUCAAUCUCUUCUUCAUUUUGUUGGAUGACCGUGGGAUUUCGUAGUGAUUGUACUCGCUCCAAUUCCGUUGCCACUUCCUUCAUUGUAGGCCUAUACCUUCCAUGAAGUCUUAAGCAUCUUUUCGCUAAGUUGGACAACGCAAUAAUUUCUUGUUCAUUGUCAUUGUCUAAUACCUCCUUAUCAAUAACAUCGAACAAACGGUUCUCAUCCAUCGAAAUGAUGAAGUACGAGGCUAGAUUUCUAUACUCUUCUGCCCUUAGUUGAGAAAUUGGCUUUUCUCCGGUUAGUAACUCGACAAGGACAACCCCAAAGCUAUAAACAUCACUUUUAUCCGUAAAUUGACUUGUUUGGUAGUACUCAGGGUCCAAGUAUCCAAAGGUUCCUCGCACCAUUGUUGUCAAGUGUGUUUGGUCAAUGGGAAUUGAUUUGGAAGCUCCAAAAUCCGCCACUUUGGCUCGAUAUUUUUCAUCUAAAAGUAUAUUUGAUGACUUGAUAUCACGAUGAUAAAUUGAUAUGGCUGCAUCAAAGUGCAAAUAUGAAAGAGCCUUGGCAACUUCAUUGGCAAUUCUUAACCGCAUUUCCCACGAUAUAGAAAAUUCUCUAUCUGGAUCAUGAAGAUAUUGGUAGAGAGUUCCAUUGGGAAUAAAUUCAUAUAUCAAAAGAGGGACUUCACUCUCUAGACAGAAUCCUAAUAGCUUGACCACAUUUCUAUGAUUGAUUUCAGAGAGUAUAACAACUUCAUUGAUGAAUUGUUCGACUUGUUCUGCAUCAAUAACUUUGGAUUUCUUGACCGCAAUGAUUGUUCCAUCCAUCAACAUUCCCUUGUAAACAGUUCCUUGACCACCCCGACCCAAUAUUCGAUUCUCGUUAAAAUGAUCCGUAACCGUGUCUAACUCCGUUGAGGUGAAUAACUUGCCCUUCUCCAUGUGAUUGUCUUCGACAGAAGACAAGCGUUGUCGCAACAGAAAUCCGCCAUUUCGCAUGAAGAAUUUUUGUUUGAGUUUUGCCUCACGCCUUCUUCCGAUGUAUUUGUACGACCACCAACAAAGCAAAAGCAACACCAUGGCUCCGAUGCCCGUGCCCACCCCUGUCAGAAAAAGUCAACGCGAAUUGCUAGGUGACAAAUUUCUCCUUCGUCAUCAACAAAUUAGCUUCCACUAAUUUGAACAAGUGCUUUCAGAAAAAGUCAAAUUGCUAAAUGCAUAGACUAUGAAAAUAUAGGUAAAUUGUCCAAAAUUUCCUAAAUUAUUUCAUAAAUAAUUCAACGGUUAAUUUAAUCAUAAACAUUUUAAUUAUGAUAAUUUAAUUAUAAACCUUUUGACAACAUGUUAAUUUAAUCAUACAUUUUUUAAUUAUGUCAAUUUAGUUCUAAAACUUCUAAUAAUUUAUCAAUUUUAUCCUAAAUUUUUUAAUGAUUUGCUUUAAAACUGACCAUCCUACAUAGCACAACUUGCACUAAAGGGGACAAUUUUUGCAUUUUUUUUAUUUUAUUUAAUUUUAUUUCUUUUUCUUUUUUUUUCCCUCCAUCGGCCUCAAGUGAGGGACACAAUCGUUGACCUUAGGCAAGGGAUGCUCACGCCUAGGCUGGUGAGGGUGGUCGAGCCAACCAUUCUAAAGGCCUAGUGGAGAGAAAAAGGGAAAAUUUUAAAAAUAAAAUAAAAUAAGAAUUCAAAAAAUACAAAAAUUAUCUAAUUAAAUGAGCAAAUCAUCAAAUGUUUUAAAAUCAAAAUAGCACAAUUGAAAGAUUUAUGACUAAAUUAGUAAAUUUUCAAAAUAUUUAGAAAUAAAUUAGCAUAAUUAAAAUGUUUAAGAUUUAUUUGUCCUAAAAUAAGUUUAGGAUUUUUUGAACGAUUUUUUUAGGAAAAAAAAAACACAUGCAAAUCCACAAUUCAAUCAAUUACCUUCUUAAUUUUACCGCUUACAGCAUUAGAGAAAAUGGGAUUCCAGAAAAAGAAGCAAUCGAGCAUGUACUUGGGGAACACAAUGAGUUAGGCCAAGACAAGAACAGGGUCUACAACCCCCGUCCUCGACUUAAAACUAGUAAAUAAGUUCCAUACCCACCUCAUCCCUCAUGUAGGACAGGUUUCAUUAUCCCAUCACCAUGCUCCUGAUAAUGUUUAGUUAAAUAAACAUCAAUGAGCACAAUUCAUGAUUCUAAGAAGAUAGAAACAACGUUAAUGGCGCAUUUGGUAAUAAUUUUAUUCCCGGGAGUAGAUUCUAAUUAGAAGUGAUUCUUUUUUAUUCUGUACCGAGAAUUGAUUCUAAGCAUUUUAAGCCGUUUAGUAACUAUUCAAAAUUUCUAAUUCUAAAGUAGAAUUACGUUUGGUAUCGUGCUCAUUAAUUCUGGUCCAAAUCAAUUUCUUUUAAUUUUUAAAUAAUUUUUUUACUUUUUUUCCUUUUUCUACUAUUCUUCUUCUUCUUCUUCUUCUUGUGGCCGAUCGCCAAGACCGGCGAUCGGCCAGACGAGGGCCGGCAACCUCACCGGAGCAUCACCGGCUCUCAGCGAGGCUGGCCCUCAUCAGCCGAGCCUCGUCGAUAGCUGGGCAAGGCUCACCUAGCCCCGCUGAGGCUCGGCCUUGCCGCUGACUGGCAAGCCGGCCUCGUCGUGUCUGGGCGAGGCCUGCUUGGUCACCGGCGGGGCUAGGCAAGCCUCGCUUGGCCACCGACGGGGCUGGGCGACCUCACCGGAGCCUCGCCUCGCCUGUGGCCAAGCGAGCCUCGCCCAACCCCAGCAAGGCCCGCCUGGCCAUCGGCAAGCUCUGGUGAGGCUGAGCCUUGUCGAGGCUGGGCGAGCCUCGUCGGGGCUAGGUGGGCCUAGGUGGGCCUGGCCCAGCCCCAGAGAGGCCUGCCUGGCCACCAGCGAGCUCUAGUGAGGCCGAGCCUUGCCGAGCCUCGCUAGAUCUGAUGAGGCCGAGCCUCGCCGGUGGCUGGGCUUGCCUCUAGCGAGCUUACCGGACCUCACCCUAGCCUGGCGAGCCUCCAACGAGCUCACUGAACUAACGGCCGGCGGCGGCGACGGCAGAUGGCAACCGGCGGUGAGCCUUGCUAGUGGCUAGGCUUGCCUCCAACAAGCUCGCAAGACCUCGCCCUGGCUUAGUGAGCCUCCAACAAGCUCGCCGAACUGAAGGCCGGCGGCAGCAGCCGACAGCGGAUGGCAGUCGGCGACGACAAACGAUGGCAGGCUGUGGUGGACGACCAUCACAAGAUGACCGAAGGGAAGAAGAAUUGUUGAUUUUGAUUCUCAAAUUUGUUCCCAGAACAAUAAUCAACUUUUUUUUUUAUUCUUGAUUCUACUCCUAAUCUAUUCUCGGAAACAAAAAUUUUACCAAACGCGAUUUUAGGCCCAAACUGAUUCUAGGAACAAAGAAUCAGAAUUUGACCCUAUUUGGAUGGUUACCAAACAGGGCCUAAGAGGACAAGGACAAAAUAAUGUGUCACAAGUAGUGAAAAGAUAAUAUUGGUGUGCUAGAAUUGUGUAAAUAUUUAAAGCCAAUGGCAUGCCAAAUUUGGGAUUACCAUCAAAGUCAGUGUUCUAUUUUGGCACAUUCGAAAUCUCGGGCCAUAAUCGGGUCCAUCUCUACUGUUUGUAAGGUGUUAAGCUAUGCUUUAUCAUGUAAAGGUUUCACGGUUCAAUGAGGAAAGAAUAUAUCCAACAGCACUUGAACUCGGAAAUCUUUAGGAGGAAUAAAGAACGAACGAAAGGAAAAGAUGGCUAGGCAUAUCCAUUCCUCCCCCUGUCCUGGACGUGAAUUUUGCCAAAUCUCGGCCACAAAAUCCAUUGAUCAUGGGUUUUCACUAAUUUUAUUUGGGCGCAGGUAGUAAGCAUAUAUGUUCCGCUUGGAUCGAUUAAAUAGCCAUCCCUAAGUGUGUCUCCACCAGCCUUCGCCAACACAAGUCCUCAUUAAUGUCCCAACUACCGCUCUUGCGACCACCAACUUUGCCCUCCUUUCUUUCUAAAUGGCCUAAUUCCCCAAAAAAUCCCAAUUUUAAAUCUAAUCCCCAUUCUGCUCUCAGCUUUUUUUGUCUAAAAAAAAUCCUAAAGAGUAGGCCUAAUUCCAAAUCUCUCCCAAACUAUUUGUUGUCUAAACUUAAGGUUCAAUCCCAAAUCUGCACCGAAUUUUCAAUCUAUUCUCAAAUCUACCCUCAUGAUCUAAUCUCAACUUCACGUGACAUUUCUACUACGAUAACAAAUCCACACUAAUAAAGUGAUAUAAAAAAUUAUCUUCAAAAUAAAAAAAUUAGGGAUGACUAACGGUGAUUUUUGGAUAGAGGGCUAUUAGGGGUAGAAUUGAGAUGAGUAAAAAUUUAUGAUUUUUCAUUAGAGAAAAAAAGUUCAUGAUAGAUUUGGCACUGAACCGAAAGUUUAGAGUUUGUUAUUAGACAAAGAAAAGUUGGGAGCAGAUUCCAGACUGAACCUAAAAUUUGGGGUUUUUUUCGAAACGAAAAAAGUUAAGUAUAAAAUUAGACUAGACUUAAAUUAGGGUUUCCAAGGGAAUUAGGCCCUUUCCAAAGGUCAUGAUGUACCUCUCACGUGACAACGGAUCUCUAGUUGCCUGAGACAGGUUAACUUCCCUCCGAUUAAAUACCGAAGUCACACAUGUCGUAAAACUGUGUUUAAUAUUCGUGACGUGAUCGCAAUCGUUGGGAAAUGUUUUUAUAUUUACCUAAAACCCAAGGUCACCAGGUCAAAAGACGCUCUAAGAAUACAGACAUCGACAUGAGGGAAAUUAAUCUAUUUUUGAAUGAUGCACUUUGUAACACGUGAUGUACACAAUAUAUCAGAUAAUCUCGUUUAUCUUCCGCAUGGAAACUUCAGUGAAAAGGAUAUAGAAAGUUUCAUAUUAAAUUUUUUCAAGCAAGGACGGAGGGAGAAAAAUCGGGCGGAACUGUGAAUAGUUAUUUUCUCCUACACCACAAAGAUAUCAAAUUAUAUAUUCUCCAAAUACGCUAAAACGGUACGCUUUUUCGAGUUGUGCACUCCAAGUAAAAUGAAAAUACUUACCAACCAAAAUCUCCAUUAAAUUUGAUGGUUUAGCAGUGCACCCCUGUCCAGCUCCACUGCCUUUCUCGCCAUUACCAUAAUAACCCUUUGGGCAUGAACAUGUAUAACUCCCAUCAACAUUAUGGCAUUUUCCCUCGCAUGGGUUUUUCAUUGGAUCCGCACAUUCAUCAAUAUCUAAACAAAUUAAACACACAUCAAAUGUAUCUAAUAUUCUCAGAUCACAUCAAUGAAAAGUACAAGUUAAACAUUAUGUUAUCAACAUACCUUGACAACCAUUCACAAGGUAAGGAUUGCCUUGGUAACCUUCUAAACAAGCACACUUGUACCCAGAUCCGUUUUCUGCGUCAGUGCAAGUGGUUUUGUUUUUGCACAUGUAGCUCGUGCUGUUCUUUUUGGCGUCCUCACAUUUUUGACUCCCUAUUGCCCAGUCGAGAACUACAGCGGAUUGGAAAUGCUUAAGCUGCCUAAGAUCACUAACCGAGAAGUUGUAGAAGCCAUUUUCGACGACAAAGGCAUAGCUGCAAGGAUUGAAAUCCAGGACUUUUGAAUGAUUGGAAAAGCUCGUAACUGAGAUGCUGUAGUCAUAGGAGUUCCUAGGGAUGCUCGUCUCACAGCAACCCAUACCGGUACACAACCCACUGCUAACAUCCAAAUCGCUGCUACACGAAGACAUACACCCGAAAGAGAACUGUUGACGGGUGUUAUGUAAGGUGGCUGACGUGUCGCAACCGAUGACAGUGAACUUGUUCUUGGUGCUGGACAUGGGGAAAGCUAGUAUGAACCGUGGAUAAGCACUCGAAGACCUAUCGAGCCCGGAAGAGUUAUAGCAGUCUUGAGCGGUCCAAAAAUAAGUUCGCAACUCAUGGUCCUCGACGGAAAUGUCACGUAGUUGAAAGUCUAACCAGUAAGGUAUGGGAGGGUCGACAGAGUAAUCACAAUUGACAAUAAACAACGUGGAAUUGAGGUGGCAGUCAGGACUGCUGUCACUCAAUCCAAAGGGGAAUGGAAUCGAGAUGUUUCCACAGAAACUUUGGCAUCCGGGCUUCGUGAUUAUAUCAAGAGCUUCUGCUGCGUGAUUGUGGUAUGGACCCAAUAUGAUGAUCCCAAGCACCAUAACUUUCAAAAGAAGCUUAUGGAUGACCAUGGUUCUUCCUUCGACUCUCUCCAUAUAUGUUUUUUUUCUCGAUGAAUUAAACUGAUGGAUUCAAGGGUAUAUAAGGAGAAGUAAGAUUUUUUUUUCUUUUUCUUUUUUUUGGGUCAAGUAACUGCAGUUAUCAUCAGCUGGUCCUAGACACUUGCAUGAGACGAUUCAAAGAUAAUUCCGCGGGUGACAAAGUCUUGUGGAAUGCGGUGCACGGCUACAUUUUCCAAAUGAGCAGGGAAAGCUCAAAGGGUCGCAGAUUAUAAGCAAUAGCUGGAGACGACAGAGCUAUUCAAAGGCCAAAAAAGGCAAAUACAGGUCCCAGCUGCUCUCUUUACCUAUACUGGACACCAUUCCUAGAGAGAGAGAGAAAGACCCCGAAAGCUGAACAGACAAAAUUUAGCCAAAAUCUCAAAUGGCUAAUCCUCUCGAACCACAAUCGCAGCUCCAACUCAAAUGGCUAAUCCUCGCAGACCCGGUCUCAAAAUAGCAAUUUUAUCCUCCCCCAUUACCAACCCAUAAUUAGGAACACCAGCUAAGAUUUCCCCACCAGAUCUACGCCACACGAGCGCGCAGCCGGCAGAACAAAAUCAUUCCAAGGCAAAAGAUGCCCAAAAAGCAUCGCACGGACAAGACACACGACAGAAACGAAGACCCUCUUCAGGGCAACACGACCAGAAACCAACAAAUUCUACGGCCGAACCCACAUCACCACGACCAGAAAGAAAGAAGACCCAGAAAUCACAUGAAAAUAUCCGAUCGAACCCAGAAACGAGAAGCCGCUCACCAGCUCGUCGAGCCACGGAACGCCUCGGCCUCCUCCUCGGAACCCACCAGGUCAGCGCCUUCCUCUUCUCCCCCGCUCUCUUUCUCUCUAUCCUGAAAGCAAAGCGGAGAGGGGAAUGGGAGUCAACGGAGUAUUUAUAGGGGAAGGAAGGGCACGGGAGAGGGCCUGAUUGGGAGAAAAUGAAGGUGGGGGUGGGUGAACUUUUGAACGGUCUCGCCCUAUCCUCGCCCUCCACGUGUCGCCCUCCGCGUCGUGGACAGUCAUAAAAGUGCGCCCGGUCAACUGGAUUUAUUGAACGGGCGCCGAGAUGGUCGGUGGGCCUUCGAGGGCUCGCUGGCUCGGGGAAAGUCAGGCCCACACUCGCUUCACCCAAUUGAGCUUUUCUGUUAAAGGCCCAAUGGGCCAUAAAAAUUAGGGGUGGUGGGCCGAUUCAACCGUGAACGGUCCACCCGGUCCUGAUCGGAACCGGACCGGAAUUGGUCCUGUCCGAUUCCCUCGUGGCUGGGAACCGCCGGCCCGUUUCGGCUCCCUAGUGCGUUUUUCUUACUGUUUCCUCCUGUUUUCCAUUUCGAAAGAGAAAAGGAGAACAGGCGAUUUCAUUCGUGAUGGUGAAGGAGAGAACUGCGGGUGAGGAUCAGCAGGAUAUGGACGGCGAGUUCGAUUGGCGCAAGAGGUGUUGAGAGAUCGUUUGUGACUCCCCUCCAUCUCCAUCUCCAUCUCCAUCGCCCAUUCUCAAGGUUCCCUCUCUCAAUCUCUCGUAGCACCCCUCCACCCACCCUUCGAUCCGCUGAAUCUUUCACCGACUCAGUCUUUGAUCUUUCUCCGUUGCGUACUGGUUGAGCAGUCCCGAUGAGUGGCUUGGAGAUUUCGGGACUUGUCGUCGCCUGCCCUGCUGAUUUGGCUUUUCUCCAAAUCUCCGGUCUCCCUCAACCUCCACAUUGUUCUCCAUUCUUCUUUUGCUCGGUUUUAAAUUCACUGCGUCCACUCUUCGGUUCGCAACUUGGCCGUCUUAUGCUUUAUCGAAAUGUAGGCUCUUUGUUUGUCGCAUCGACUAAUUAGGGUUUUUCGGAUAAAAUAUAACUAAUUUGGGUUUUCAUUUUUGUAAUUAUAAAAAUUAGAAAAAGAAAAAGAAAAAGAAAAAGCUAUAUGUCCGGUCCAAUGGAUGGGUCCACACCUAGAACCGGGACCAGAUCGAUAUUUACAGGCUCCGGUUCAAUCCAGUUCUUCUUGCUCAUAGGACAGUCAAACGCCCCCUCCUUCAUCAUCUCCGAAGACUCUUCGGUAGUGAAUGAUAAUCAUUUUAUCUAAAAAUUGAUUUCUGGAAGGGAAAUAGAUUUUAUUUUUUUUUAAAGAAAGAGAAAUAGAUUUUUCUAUUUCUAUUUUUAGAAGAGUUUUUGAGCAAAAAUAAUCGUUUGAUAACAACACAAAAUUUCUACUCUAAAAAUAGAAAUUUGUUUGAUAACAAUACAAAAUUUCUUCCUUUCGAACAGCGACGAACCGGCGGACAAUAGUGGAUCGGCAAUCGGCAGUGACGGACAGUGGCGGCGGUCGGCGGCCGGUGGCGGCCAACAAUGGUGGCGGUAAUGGCUGACGGCCGACAAUGGUGACAGCAACAAGCGACCAACGAACGGUAGUCGGUAGUGACGAAUGAAGGACCAGUUAACGAACAAUGAAAAUAAUUUUUAUUUCUCAUUUAUGUUCUAGAAAUAGAGAAGUAAAUCUGAUUUCUAUUCCAAACCUAUUUCUGGAACAAGAUUCUAUUUCAGAAAUAAAAAAUAUGAAUAAUUUUAUCAAACGGAUUUCUAUUCCAGAAAUAAGUAUGGAAUGAAAAAAUUGUUUUUGGAACAGAAACGGGUGGUUGUCAUAUGCACCCCCUCCGCGUUGCUAGGGUUUUGGAACGGCGGUGGUGGUCGUCACGGUGGCGAAGGCCGAAGAUCAUGGUGGGAUUCAAGAACCGGUACAUGGUAAUGGAGGUUUUUCUGGAUCCAAAUCGAGAGCUCGGGGUGGAUGACCCCAUCAUACUCACUCAGUUCAACGUAUCCAAAGUAAUACGAGACAGCAUCCUCGUGAACUUCGAGGAGUGCGGCCUCGCUUCGUCUCUCGGAUCCUUUCAAGGUACUCUUCCUUCUUUAUGGGAUCCCUCGUAUCCUGGAAUCAGCAGGUAUUUGGAGGUUAAAUUCUCUGUUAUUUCGCUACCAAGUUCUGUGAUUCAGUCAUGGUCAACCCGUGGUUGUGAUCUUUCGUGCAGUGAAGUAUGUAAAUCCCAUCACGAAGCUUUUCAUCGUUAGAGCUUCUAGAUAGGGGUGAUCGGUUCCCGGUUCGGUCCGGUUCCACCCAAGAACCGGGAACCGGACCGGGAGGACCGGUUCCCACUUUUCUGGACCGUGGACCGGACCGGCUGGUCUUGGAACCGAGAACCGGACCGACCAACCGGUCCGGUCCGGUCCGGUCCGGUUCCAAUGAACCAUCACUUGUUUCAUUUCAUAAACCUCAUAGGAUUGCCCCCGAAUCAAUGAAUCAAUUGGCAAUUAAAAUUUUCACAACUUGUGGAGAAAGAGAAAAUGUACCAAUUUUGACGAUGGAAAGGCAUUUGAGUGUUGAGCAAAGCCGAAGGCGAGGUUGUGAGAGGGGAAGGUGUCGACGUCAAGGCUUAAGCAACUUGAUCGAAGCUAGGCAUGAGGCGAGGCUGCGACUUACUGCUACAUGCUUCGCAUGACCUAUCAGCAAACCCAUUUAGAGACUAAACAACCAAGCAAACUCCAAUGAGACCGCCACACCUAUAUCAAGUGAGAUCAUACUGAAACAAACGCUACAAAAAGACAGAGAUCUAAAACCGACGAAAGUGAAGCCGAGAAACGCACCUAUGUGGAGGCAAACGUCACUCCAAAGAGUAGGAAUGCACAGAUCUCAAGCAAAGCAUAAGAGGAAGAGAGCCAAGCGUAAAUGCGCAGAUCUUAGGCGAAGCAAAGGAGGAAGAGAGCCAAGCGUCAGAGCGAGCGAGGCGUCAAGGCGAGGCACUUGCCAAGCAUUAGAGCGAGCGAGGUGUCGGGGCGAGGAGCUCGAAGAAGGAAGAGAGCCGAGUGUCCGAGCAAGCGCGAUAUGAGGCGAGACCUCGCGGAUAGGUGCUUGGAGGAGGAAGAGAGCCGAGCGUCAGAGCGAGCGAGGAGUGAAGCGAGGCAUCGGGGCAAGGCGCUCGGAGGAGGGAGAGAGCCCAGCAUCCGAGGGAGCAAGGUGUGAGGCGAGACGUUGCGGUGAGGCACUCGGAAGAGGAAGAGAGCUGAGCGUCCGAGGGAGCGAGGUGUGAGGCGAGACGUUGCGACGAGGCACUCAGAGGAAGAGAGCCGAGCAUCGGCACGGGUGAGGCGUGAGGUGAGGCGUUGGGGGUGAGGCGUCGAGCGAGAGGGGAGGGGUCACGGUUUUGAGAGGGAAAGGCAAAGUGAGAAUUGCCGCCGAAUUGGAUUGCAAAAUUUGGGAAAAUGGAAGUUGAUGUGAUGGCUACUGUAGAUUAGAGUAGAAACUAAAUAAAAGAAAGAGAGGGGUUAGGCUUACGAGAGGGAAAGGGAAAGUGAGAGCUGCAAAAUUUGGAAAAGAAAAUAUGAUGUGAUGGUUACUGUAGAUAGGUUCAGAAACUAAAAAAAGGGGGUGGGAUUCGCUUAAGAGUUACAAGAGGAAAAAUAAAUAUGGUGAUGGGUACUGCAGAUUAGUUCAGAAAUUAAAAAUAAAUAAAUAUAUAUAAAUGGUCGGUCCGGUCCGGUCGGUCCGGUCGGUCCGAUUCCGAUCCCAAAACCGGGAACCGGACCAACCAGUCACCGGUUCCAAAAAUAGGAACCUGAGACCGGACCAAGACCCUCUAGAACCGCCCGAAACCGACCGGUCCGGUCCGGUCCGGCCGGUUCCCGGUUCGGGCGGUUUCCGUUGCACACCCCUACUUCUAGAGAGGAGCACCAGAAAGUUUGGGCUGCGUUCACCUUGGUCACGAGCGUCAGAAAUUGCCUGGUGCUGUUUAAUUUACUUGACUUGAGCGAUGAGUCGAACGAGUGUCGAGCGGGAUGCUGAAUAGCACAAGAAUUCAUCCUUUUUUUUUUAAUUGAAUCAUCCAAUUAACGUUGUACUCUGCUACUAGUGAUUGUAAGUAGGUUGGCUUACUGCGAUUGGCUUUUGUAAAAAUAUCUCGUCUCAAUUCUUCUUGACAAAAGAACAAUAGCACCUGGAUUAUCAAAUUGUGUUUUUUUAAUCGAGUCGCAUUAAGUGAAGCUUAAACUCUAAAAGCAUAAUGGGUGGUGAAUUUGUAGUGCUGUUAUUGUGAAACUGGCAUGAUUUUCUUGCAGAUUGGGAAAAUUUCAUGUGAGGUUAUUCGCAUUUCUUUUCGACUGGCAAUGGCAUCAUGCAUAAUUAUUUGGUGGAAAGAGUGAGAUUUUACAAAUGUGAGCAAACAUUUUCCUUUAUACCUUCCAUUUUACAAAAACAUUUAACACUUAGGAACGUACCUGGAAUCUUCGCUGCCACCAAAAAAAAAAAAAAUUGAACAAGAUUAAUUUUGGCCUAAGUUCUCUAAGGUCUAAAAACAAGUCCCCAGUGAAGUCGCCAAGCUGUCGCGACGACUUACCCUUGGGGGGAGGGAACAGGUUUAAGGGUAUUGCCUACAAGACGAGCCCAAUGUCCAUGAUUAGGCGCGAGCUCUCCCAAGCCUAUACCCCGCAUGACAUUUGGAUAGUUUUUAAGAAUUUUGCACAAAAUGAGUCACCACUAGCCUAUUGGGAUCGGCUAAAAAUUAAUUGGGAUAUUUUUUAAAAAUUUUGCACAAAAGGAGUCGUCAUUAGCCUAUUGGGAUCGACUAAAAACCAAGUGAGACACAUGAGUAUGUCACAUUUCUUAUGCAAUCAGAGAAUUUAGGGUUGGGGACUUGAUUACACUAAUUGACUAAUUAGUGCCCUUUUGGUACUUAAUAUUAUUCAUUUCAAAAAAAUAUUUUUGUUAGGCAGUUGGGAUUGAUUUUAUACCUAUCCACUAACAUAUGAAGUAAUCAUGCAAGUGUACAAUCAUUAAAGUAACAAUCAUAGCUACCAAGAUCCUAAUUGCAGUAAAAUUAAACACUUGCAAUUAAAUAUAAUUAAAUAUGCAAAUUAAACAUACAAUAUAAUCAAAAUACGAGCUAAUAAGACCUAAUUACACUAAGAAUGCAAAACAUAGCAUUCAUAAUCAAACCCCAUCAUUUUGGAUUUUCGAAAUUUUAACUUUUUAAUUAUNNNNNNNNNNNNNNNNNNNNNNNNNNNNNNNNNNNNNNNNNNNNNNNNNNNNNNNNNNNNNNNNNNNNNNNNNNNNNNNNNNNNNNNNNNNNNNNNNNNNNNNNNNNNNNNNNNNNNNNNNNNNNNNNNNNNNNNNNNNNNNNNNNNNNNNNNNNNNNNNNNNNNNNNNNNNNNNNNNNNNNNNNNNNNNNNNNNNNNNNNNNNNNNNNNNNNNNNNNNNNNNNNNNNNNNNNNNNNNNNNNNNNNNNNNNNNNNNNNNNNNNNNNNNNNNNNNNNNNNNNNNNNNNNNNNNNNNNNNNNNNNNNNNNNNNNNNNNNNNNNNNNNNNNNNNNNNNNNNNNNNNNNNNNNNNNNNNNNNNNNNNNNNNNNNNNNNNNNNNNNNNNNNNNNNNNNNNNNNNNNNNNNNNNNNNNNNNNNNNNNNNNNNNNNNNNNNNNNNNNNNNNNNNNNNNNNNNNNNNNNNNNNNNNNNNNNNNNNNNNNNNNNNNNNNNNNNNNNNNNNNNNNNNNNNNNNNNNNNNNNNNNNNNNNNNNNNNNNNNNNNNNNNNNNNNNNNNNNNNNNNNNNNNNNNNNNNNNNNNNNNNNNNNNNNNNNNNNNNNNNNNNNNNNNNNNNNNNNNNNNNNNNNNNNNNNNNNNNNNNNNNNNNNNNNNNNNNNNNNNNNNNNNNNNNNNNNNNNNNNNNNUUCUCCUCCCGUUCCGGGGACGGCCCCGCUUCCCUGCCCCCAGGGAUUUCCUUUCGCCACCAGGGGGUAAUGGGGCCCCAUCGGGAGAUGUCCUUAUAGGGAAGACUCCUCUCCGCCAUUCGGCCCAAUAGGGGGGGGCCAAGACCACCCCGGCCCGGGGGGGGGGGGGGGGGGCAGCUUUCGACCCGAGCGAGACUUGAGGCGGCGGCAGCGGUGACCAGUAAACAACCAACAACAAACAAGAACCUAAGGAGAGCCUACGAAGGCCGGAGCUCGCCCGAAACGGACGAAACGAGCUCCGGCCGGCUCAAGCUCAAAAAUGCACACCAGGUAUUCAAUGAAAUGCCAACUUGAGUUCCGGCGGGAAUGGUGGUGUGGAGACACGUCGGCGGCGGUGGCCUCAAUGAGUUUCCCCUCUUUUUUCCGCUCUCUAUUUUCUCUCCUCGCUCUCUCCUCCUCUAUUCCUCCUCUAUUCUCGUUUGGGGGAGGAGAGCCGCGGCAGACAAAGGUGGCAGACGGGCCUCCAACGAUGGCUAGCUGCUCCCUCGAGCUUCCGCCUUCCCUCCUUCCCUUUGUGUCUUUCUCUCUCGAGCUCUCCUUUUCUUUCUCGGUUUCACGCUGCCCCCUUUGCUCUGCUCCUUCUCUCUCUCUCUCUCUCUCUUCCUCGCCUUUCAACCGUUCGGCUCGUGCACAUGCCCUCGGCUGACCAACCAGCGAACUCUGCCAGCCGACUCUGACCUAAAGAUUGCGCCGCUCGCUUGCCCCCCUGUGGAUCGUGCUAUCCCCUGCAGCCGCUCCUCCCUACUCUAGCGUCUACUUUUCUGCUUUUGUCUUCGCAAGUUCCCCAUGCUGAAAACAGUUGAGGGAGAAGACAACGGUGCAGCCAAGCCAGAGGGAAGGCUGGGCAGUACUGGCAUUGGCCGAUCCUUCUUACUGUAGUGGCCAAAUCUGAUUUCUCCUCUAUUAAAAAAAAAAAAAAAAGUGAUCUUUUGGGACCUCCUUGAGCAAUAUCUGUGGCGGGUAUCCUUUAUAUUUUUGGAUUGAAGGGAAUUUUUAAGAGGCAAAUUAAAAGGUGAGAACUCGGCUAAUCAAUGGCUAUUUUUGUCUAUGUUGGAGGAAUUGUGGCAGGCUUUUUGUAUGGAAUUUUAGGUGCCUUUUUUCGCUUUAGCUAGGGAGUGAGCUUGCUUGAAUCUUGUGGAGUUUGGAUUCAUAUUAAUUGACAUCACGGAUGGGUCGAUCUCAUCAGAAAAACUUGUAACAUCACCUGAAGUGAGAGGCAGAGGUCAUGGAUGCAGUAGAUUGUGUCGAGAGGACGACGAGUGAUCUGUUGAUUGGCCCUAAUUGGAGUAUUAACAUUGAACUGUGCGAGACCCAGGUGGGUAUUCCUAAUUUCCUAUGUCCUCCUUUUCUUCUUCUCUUUGAUUUUUUAUUUGGAAUUUAGCAUGAUAGCUGGGCCUUGUUGGUUGUUAGCUGUAUCCUUCAGCAAUUCGCAGCUUCUUGAAAGUGUCAUCGCAUGGGAAAAGUUGAUUUUAAUGAGUAGGUGAAGAUCGGGAUGGCUUGUUGGUAUACUAAGAUAGAUGUCUAGAUAGAAGCUUCAAAUGGGCAAAAUUGUGAUUUUCUUUUAUAAACAAUGGCGAAAUGGUAUGGCUCAGUUUUUUAUGUUUGAAGUUGGCCGGGUUUUCUUUAAUUUACUACUAAUGGACUGCGCUGAAUUUUCUCUCGGCCACUUUUUUUAAGUUUCAUUGAUAUUAGGGGUAAGCAUGUUGGACUACCCAAAUCAGGAAUCGCUCGGUCCGAACUGGGCUAGCCAGUUUGGUCUGGUUCCCGAUUCUAUAAAAAUGGAAUUAGUGAUUAUCAGUCCGGUUCCUAGAUCUGGGGGAGAACCGAACCGGAUCAAACUGACAUUUUUUUUAAAAUAUAUUUUUUAAUUUCUUAAAAAUAGCAAUAAAACUUAAAAAUAGUAAUAAUUCUUGUAUUUUUCUUAAGUUUUAAUUAUUAUUAUUUUUGCUAAGCGAUCGGUUCUAUGGAUUGGAUCAAACUAGUCAGUCCAGUCCAAUUCCCGGUCCUAGGACCAUCCAGUCUGGUUCCUAGUCCCAAAAAUUAAGAAUUGGUUCUCCCGAUCCAAUUCCCAGUUCCUAGGUGGAAUUGGAUUGGAUCGAAAACCGAUCACUCUUAAUUGAUAAGCUUCCAUCUAAAUUAUCAAAUUGAAUCGACCUAUUGACAAACCUUAUCUUAGGGAUCCAGAAAUGUAUUGUGAUAACUCUUGUAAUUAAAAAACUGAUUUUCUUUCUAAAUGCUUAAAUGAAUACAUCCUAGCAUAUCCAAUUUUUGAUAUCGUCACCCACUAUUGAAAUGGGAUAGGUGAGUUUCGGUGUGUGAUAUUGGAGCUCAGUUUAUAUCUAAUAAAGUCGCUAAUAUUUUGGUAAUUAUACAUCUUUCAACCAAUGGGAGUAACUUUUUCAUGUGGUUUAGUGUGAUUUCGUUUCUUAUGGUAGAUAAUGAUAUUAGUAUAAUAUAAACAGAUGUUAGUAAUUCAUUAUUUAUGAGUUAUCACUGGCUACUUCCAUUAUUUAUCACUAGAUAAUUUACUAAUCAUAUUAUAAAUCAAGAUUAUCCUAUAUAUAGAGCAAAUUGAACUCCAUAUAUAACAUCAAACUUUUACUAGAAAGCUUCAUUAAAGUAGCUAUGUAAUAUAAAAAUGAAUAACAAUUGCAGUUUACUAAUAUAAUGAUAAAAAAAAUAUUAAUACCAUGAAAAACCCAAAAUUAGUAUACUUAUAACAAAAUUGCCACAAACUAAUUUUGUGAUUACAAAAAUUCACAAACUUUAUAGCUUUCUUAUGUGUGGAUAGUUUUGGAUCAAAUUGGUCUCUUCUUUUCUUUCUUCUAAAUGACUACAAGAGGCGGCUAUAACUUGACUAAAAUAUUUUGUUAUCAAUUCCAAGUAGGUGUUGGAGACUCUCAGCAAAAACUGUGGUAACGGUGUAUUUCAGAAUAUUAUUGAGGCUGAUAUCCUACAGGAAAUGGUUAGAAUGGUAUUUAAAAGGUGCCCACCCUAUAUCCCAUGAUUGGUACUUUUGUUCUGAAUCUGUUCAUUUAUGAGAUUGUCAUUUGCUGUUUCUGCAUGCUCCGUGCAGCCAGAUUUUGUUGUGAUGGAGAAGUUGUUGACAUUGAUAGAUUCAUGGGAAGAAGCUUUGGGGGGCCCAAGGGGAAGGUAUCCCCCAUACUAUUCUGCAUACAAUGAGUUGAUGGUAACCUCGGAGAUCUUUCUGCAGAUUCAUUUGUCUAGACUUUGGUGUGAUCUUUCAUUACUUUUUCUUAAUAUGAUUCCUCUAUGACCAUUGACAGACUGCUGGAGUUCGCUUUCCACCACGGGAAGAGAAGAGUGUACCAUUUUUCACUCCACCCCAAUCUCAUGAAGUUCAUUCUACCUCAGCAUUCAGCACUGCCUCUAUUGAGGGUUCAACCCAGCCUAAUACUUCUGGCUUAAGGUUAGUACUGGCUAUAAAUUUCCUUUACCAAUGAUUUUCGUGCCUCUUCCCAUCCUUAAUGAAAUUACGAUGUCUUCUUUUUGAUAUUGGCUUUUUGGGCUUUUGCCAAGUGAGCUGCUUCAUGGGCACAGUUGAGUAACCCAAGACACAUGUACAUCCAUAAUCAAAAGAGUUGAUUUUCCCGAGCUGAAAAGGCUUUAGAUAAUGUUUAUAUCAUGAACAAAAUAAAUGCAAAUCAGAUAUUGCUAUCGGAAUAUUUGUGGCAUGGGAAACGUGGUUAUAGAAUUGAAUUCUAUUCAUCGUUGGUACUCUCAGCUAAUAGUUGCUAGUUAAGGAUUCUUCACUUGUUGAACUCGACUAUUAUAAUUUUUCCCCCAGCAAUAUUCAAGGCUUUCAUCAAUGUUACUGUUUCAAGUGGUACGUUGCCAUCACUUGUAAGACAUGGUCCAGUUAACCGCAAUUUGGAGUAGGUUUCAAAGCUAUAUUAUAGUAGGGUGCAGUGUCAAGCUUCAGAAAGUCUAAAUAAAUAGAUCAUGGUGCUUAUUUUGUUAUUAUCCUUUUCUGCUGCCUUCUGCAAGCUUGGCAUAAUGUCAUAUUCUGUGUGGUCUAAUGAUAAGCUUUACUUGAUUGCUCAUUCUAUGCUUUUCAUCUUCACCAUUUUCUUGGUAGUUUAGUAGUGAAAUCCUACUAUCAAUGAUAAUCUCUUAAAUUAUUUCCACCUAUUGAAAAUCCUUAUCCUAUAUAGCCCAAUAGAGAUGCAAAAUGCACGUGGAUUAGCGGAUGUGUUGUCGGAAAUGCUGGGGGCCGUUGAUCCCAAUAAUCCUGAGGUAAUAGUCUUGAUAGUUUUUUAACAGAUGAUAUUCUCUCUCUCUCUCUCUCUCUCUCUCUCUCUCUCUCUCUCUCGCUCACAUUCAUGAUGGGGAAAACCCACCUUAGAUAGGUAAACCCAGGGCCAAUGGAUGCUUCUUUUUUUCUUAAAUUUUUUGGGCUCAUGAAUGUUUCUCUCUUUCUUUAAAUCUUUUUGCAGCCGUUGGUGAUAUGAAUCUGUAUUCUUAGUUUGCUUGGAAACUUCCAUUAAAAGAUGAAUUUAAUUGGAGGACCUUAAUUUUCUGGCUAGCAUUAUAUUCCUUAGAAAGUAUAUCAGUGUCUGCUGACUUGAUGAUUAGUUUUGCUGAGGUUGAUCUGACAGGAUAUCUAGAUCUUAAGCUUGCUGUAUGGUUGUGACAAAGAGGAUGCAAUAGGUUCUUAUAGUAAUAGGAGUUUGAUUGAUCUCCCCUUUCAGUAAGUUCUACGUCACUGCAGCACCCUUAUGUGGGAGGAUGGCUUUUUUUAUUCAGAGGAACAGUACUUCUCUUUUAUAAAUUAUGAUGGGAUGUUAUGGCACUUAGUGGCCUUGGGUAUGUUGAGGAUGCUGUGCUGUUUGCGCUGGAGAUGAGCAGAGUAUCUUAUUGAAUUGGCCUUGGAAGGCCUCCUUUUUCGAUAAGUCUCUUAAAAACUAUCGUAAGUACCUAUUGUUUGUUCUGGUUUUGUUUAAAAUUGUGUGUGGAGUUUCUCAAAAUAGGUCCCCAUUUAACAAAACUUUAGACUCCAUCUCGGUGCUAUAAUUGGAAGCAGCAAUAGCCGGUUUGAGCAAUUCAGAGUAGGAAAAUCUUAUGACAUUACACAUUUUAAGGACGAUUCCAGAUUGGUUCUCACUCAUUUUGUUUUAUUUGGAGUGAGGGUCUCAUUUCGCUGUGGGUUGUAUACUUCCUUUUUUGGUCAGAGUGUAUGGGGCAUUACUGGUGAUUAAACUUGUUUUCCAAGAGGUUCUCAUGCCUGCUUCUACAUGAGUUGGCAGCUCCUAUGUGCCUUACUGUCUUCUACUCUCGUGAAAGCAAGUAUCUGACUCCCAUGUACUGGUAGCUAAUCUGGUAAUUUUUUAAGUUAAUUUUUUCCAAAGGUAGGUUGACUGAACUUUUCCCUUAAAACGACUAUGAAAUUGACGUCUACCAUUAGUUCCAAGCAGUUACUUCUGUGGUUUUCACCCCUCUUUAGUUGGUUUAUAUGGUAGGCCACGUUAAUAAUGCCUUCUUCAAAUUUUGUUUUCUGUCAUGCUCGUAGGAUAUAUUGAGAGUAUAGUCAUCAUUUAUGUAUGAACAGACACAAGUUUUAAGGACAUUUCCACUGUUUGCCUUGUCAAUUGAGAUUGGUGUUUUGAGUGAUGAAUUCCAUAGAUAAGACCCGUGCCAGAUGUGCUACCAAAGCUGAGAAAUGGAACUUUCCAGUAAUCUCUAUGAACACCAACUGCUUGCUUGCAAGCAGUAUAAGUGUAAAUUGUUUAAGUUGUUUAAAUGAGGAUCCUACUAAAAGCAGGGAAAGCCUUCAUAGGCUUGAGUCAAGUAUUGUUUUGUUCUGCUAGCCUGCAAACUAUAGAUAUAACUCUUAAAAAGGGAAAUUUAAGUUUUCUUCUGGGAAAAAAAAAGAAAAAGAAAAUGACGAAUUGCUGUUCUUGGCAAAUUUAUUGUUCUAGUCCUCGCAUUCUUUUCAUUAUUACAAGCAUGUUGAGGUCCAUAGUUUUAUCUAACACAAAACUGUUGGAGAAAUCUUUCCAGAAUAUUUUGAAGCUGACAAAACAUUUCUAUCAGUCUAGUUUGUGGAUUGAACAGAAUGUAAUUUUCCAUGGCUUGUUUUGCCCUGAAGGUUCCCUUAUUCAAAUUGUAAGCGGUGAUCUUAUUCUCAUUGACAGUUUUUCUAAUCCAGUGACGAAGGCAAUCCAGAGCCAAAGUAUUUGGUUGAGGAUUUGGUCUUAUCCUCUAGAGAAGAUCUCUUGGCUGGAUAAAUAUAACGGAUUCUUUUAUUCGUAUUCAAAAUCGUUUGAAGAUCCGAUGGUCGACGAAAUAUUCUUGGAAGGUUCUAUUCUUGGAAACCAAGAUCCUGAUUGUAUGGGCGAACAGGAUUGAUGGGCUAUCAUCAGGUUCCUUUAAUAGCUCGAAUGAUCUUCUUAAUUGAUUCCGUCCAACGGGUAGAUUGGAGGAAUUCCUUUGGUAAGUGCCAACGGGUAUGAUGACAUAAAGGAGUAUAAAAGGAAGACGUUCUAGUUACUUUAGUGUAUGAUCGAUAGAGAAAUUCCAGAGUCUGAAGCACCUUGAUUAUUAGUCGAUUCGUUUUGAGGGAAAUUGUAUACACAAAGAGUGUCUAUACUUAGUGAAUCCUUGAGCGAGUGUGGUAGAUCAUCUACACUGAGAAAGCAAGGGAGAACAACACUGUAACAUCUCUUUGUUCAUAGUGGAAUCCAGCCAAUAGGCUGUCAGUGCAAAAGAGUGGACGUAGGCUUGACAUAAGCCGAACCACUAUAAACCUCGUGUUCAAUUCUCUCUUCCCCUUCUCUCAGUUUUACUUUGAUUAUCGUUUGUCUCAAAUAUAUCAACUGUCUAGUAUUGUGCAAUUAUAAAGAAAAAUCCUUUAUAUACCUAUUCACCCCCCCUCUAGGUACUCAUACUAGCUAUAUCAGAAACAAAUAUAAAGACAGGAGUCAUGGAGAAUCAAAGGAGAUUAUUUACAGAGUAAAGGUUUGUGGAUUGAACAGAAUGUAAUUUUCCAUGGCUUGUUUUGCCCUGAAGGUUCCCUUAUUCAAAUUGUAAGCGAUGAUCUUGCCAAAUUGGUGUCUGUCAUAUCAGUUAGGUGGACCGCAUUUUCGAGAUAUUUAAUAGGCAACCUAUUGCUAACUUGUGGUCCAUAUAUAUAUGUUGGAAUUAUGAUUCAGAGGAAUGAGAGGAAGACUACAGACAGACGCUUCUUAUUCUAUUCUUACAUUUUUCUUUUUUAUCUGACAAUCCUAUCAGGUCUUAUAUCAAUGUGUCCUAGCUCUAAAACAUUUAGCUGAAAACACGACAGAGUCCAAAAAUUGCUCUAGCUUUAUUAAAUUUUUCUUUUAAGAGCUGGCCUUCAAUCUCUCUCAUAAGAUUCAAGCAUGCCAUAAUCCAUUGCUGUUCUAGUUAAAAGAAGAUGCUGAAUUCCAAUAUCUGGAUUUGUCAGUUUCUUGAUCCAAGGAUUGCAGCAUCUUAGGUGACCAUGAUUCUUACGGCCUGAAAGACAAAAUUGUUUUUGCUAAAAAUUGGAGCAUCAAGUUAUCAUCGAAGAGCUGCAAGGAAAAUUUGCAGUUGGUAUUCAU
rnacentral:lncRNA from 1 species